GCAGUUUGUGAACAUUGGGGUUAGCGUUAGACGAGAAAAUCGAUACCCCUCUCUCUCAUGAUUGUAGGGUCAAUAUGAAGCUAUAUCCAGGAGACGGUUAGCUUAGCAUAAAGACUGGAAGCACAGAAACCUUACUCUGUCCAAAGGCGACUACUAGCUAGCAGCUUACUAAUUAACACAUCAACCUUAUGAAAAUUAAAAAAACGACAAUUUGUAGUUUUAUAGGGGACUGAAGGUAGAACCCAGGAGAAAUAGUUUGGCACAAAACCUCUGUAAAACCAUUUUUACACAGCUAAAACAAACACCAACAAUAAUUUCUUUAUUUGUGAGCUGAGGUAAGGCGGACUUUGAUAACCUCGGGCAGAGCCAGACUGGCUGUUUCAAGUCUUUAUGCUAAGCUAACCAGCUGCUGGCUGUAAUUACAUAUAUAACUGACAAAAAUAAAUAGUGAUGUAAAUCUUACACUCAGCAAGAAAGCCUAAUUCCAAAAAUGUCAAAUUGUUCCUUUAAAUUUGGACAUAAAAUGGGACCAUAACUGGAUGAUUAAACGCUAAAGCCAUGAAAGAUAUUAAGUAGUGGGUGAUUGGAUUUUUUCCCCCCUGUGCUGAGCCUUCCUUUAAAUUGACCAAAUCUUCAAUGUGAACAAUUUUGGGUGUUACAACAGUCAACCAACAGCUGUGUCUCAUUUAUCAACCUUUUUAGGAAUGUUUAAAAAAAAAAAAGUACGACGAUUGACAUGGUGUCUCAUGAUCAAUUUUUACAUUAUAUAUAACAUACAUUUGUAUAUCAAGAUCUGAAUUGUUUCAGUGUUGCCAUGAGAUGAAUCCCUCACUGACUCCUAGCAGAGCACCUGCUAGCCAGUGCGCUAAAACGCUGUGGAAGUCAUUUGGUCUUCUGUGUUGCUUUGACUUGACGCUGUGAACUUAUCUGUAUAGUUUCAUGCUUUAUUUUUUAUUUUUUUUAAAUGCACUGUACUUCUUAGCCUUGUACCAGCUGUGCCUUUAAUAUUGUAAGAUACAUUUGUGUAAAUGUAUUAUGUAUUAAGCUUUAAACCAGGUUUAAUAGACAUUCCAGGUCAAAAUUGCACAAAAGCUUUUAUUUUGUAAAAUGGCUCCUGGUUAUUUUUUUAUAAAGAAAUUAAUGGAAAUAUAUUCUCAGUAAUUUGCUUGUGUUUUGUUGAGAGAUAUUUUAGUUUUUUUUGGAAUAAAGUGAAUUACUUUUCAGAAUUACUAUAUUCAUUUUAGUUGGUAAUACACACUCUUUCACAACUCAAAGAACGACCGCUGUACAGACUGUUUAUGAAACAGAUUAAAUUUACUUUCGAUGGUUAUGAGAAAUAAAUAGUUCCAGUAAAAAGAGUCACACAAACUGUUCACCGGCAGCUCAGUGUUUCAGAGAGAUCGAAUUCACAACACAGCAGGCCUUCCAUGCACCAGACGCACAC